GUAUCUGCAAUGACCAAGAUCAGUAAAUAGAAGAUGAUGAAAAGAGAAUGAAGUUCAACGGCUGAAAAACUUCAUCAUCCACUCUUCCAUUGAACCUACCUUGCGAGCUGUUUGGCAAACCAAACCGGAAAAUGACCGUUAUCAACUGAGAGAUACUAGAAUAUAAAGUAUUCUAGUAAUAAAGGUGGUACCGCGAAUAUAAACCCUUCGUCCUUUAA
rnacentral:ncRNA from 1 species